rnacentral:rRNA from 1 species
AGACCCGAAACCCGGUGAUCUAGCCAUGGGCAGGUUGAAGGUUGGGUAACACUAACUGGAGGACCGAACCGACUAAUGUUGAAAAAUUAGCGGAUGACCUGUGGCUGGGGGUGAAAGGCCAAUCAAACCGGGAGAUAGCUGGUUCUCCCCGAAAGCUAUUUAGGUAGCGCCUCGUGAAUUCAUCUCCGGGGGUAGAGCACUGUUUCGGCUAGGGGGCCAUCCCGGCUUACCAACCCGAUGCAAACUGCGAAUACCGGAGAAUGUUAUCACGGGAGACACACGGCGGGUGCUAACGUCCGUCGUGAAGAGGGAAACAACCCAGACCGCCAGCUAAGGUCCCAAAGUCAUGGUUAAGUGGGAAACGAUGUGGGAAGGCCCAGACAGCCAGGAUGUUGGCUUAGAAGCAGCCAUCAUUUAAAGAAAGCGUAAUAGCUCACUGGUCGAGUCGGCCUGCGCGGAAGAUGUAACGGGGCUAAACCAUGCACCGAAGCUGCGGCAGCGACGCUGAUGCGUUGUUGGGUAGGGGAGCGUUCUGUAAGCCUGCGAAGGUGACCUGUGAGGGUUGCUGGAGGUAUCAGAAGUGCGAAUGCUGACAUAAGUAACGAUAAAGCGGGUGAAAAGCCCGCUCGCCGGAAGACCAAGGGUUCCUGUCCAACGUUAAUCGGGGCAGGGUGAGUCGACCCCUAAGGCGAGGCCGAAAGGCGUAGUCGAUGGGAAACGGGUUAAUAUUCCCGUACUUGGUGUUACUGCGAAGGGGGGACGGAGAAGGCUAUGUUGGCCGGGCGACGGUUGUCCCGGUUUAAGCGUGUAGGUGUGUGUUCCAGGUAAAUCCGGUUCACUUUAACACUGAGGCGUGAUGACGAGGCACUACGGUGCUGAAGCAACAAAUGCCCUGCUUCCAGGAAAAGCCUCUAAGCAUCAGGUAACAUCAAAUCGUACCCCAAACCGACACAGGUGGUCAGGUAGAGAAUACCAAGGCGCUUGAGAGAACUCGGGUGAAGGAACUAGGCAAAAUGGUGCCGUAACUUCGGGAGAAGGCACGCUGACACGUAGGUGAAGUGAUUUACUCACGGAGCUGAAGUCAGUCGAAGAUACCAGCUGGCUGCAACUGUUUAUUAAAAACACAGCACUGUGCAAACACGAAAGUGGACGUAUACGGUGUGACGCCUGCCCGGUGCCGGAAGGUUAAUUGAUGGGGUCAGCGCAAGCGAAGCUCCUGAUCGAAGCCCCGGUAAACGGCGGCCGUAACUAUAACGGUCCUAAGGUAGCGAAAUUCCUUGUCGGGUAAGUUCCGACCUGCACGAAUGGCGUAAUGAUGGCCAGGCUGUCUCCACCCGAGACUCAGUGAAAUUGAACUCGCUGUGAAGAUGCAGUGUACCCGCGGCAAGACGGAAAGACCCCGUGAACCUUUACUAUAGCUUGACACUGAACAUUGAGCCUUGAUGUGUAG